rnacentral:rRNA from 1 species
AAACAUGUCUUUUUGAUAAAUAAUUUAAAGUCUAAUCUGCCCACUGAUUUAGAUAUUAAAGGGCUGCAGUAUAUUGACUGUACAAAGGUAGCAUAAUCAUUAGUCUUUUAAUUGAAGACUUGUAUGAAAGAUUUGAUGAGAUAUAAACUGUCUCUUAAUUAUAUUUAGAACUUAAUUUUUUAGUAAAAAAGCUAAAAUAUUUUUAAAAGACGAGAAGACCCUAUAGAGUUUGAUAAUUAAUUUUGUUGAAAUUUUAAAUAAAUUUUAUAUAAAGAUAAAUUUAAUUAUUUUGUUGGGGUGAUAGAAAAAUUUAAUAAACUUUUUUUAUUAAACUAAUACUAAUAAGUAGGUAUAUGAUCCAUAAAUUAUGAUUAAAAGAAAAAAUUACCUUAGGGAUAACAGCGUAAUUUUUUUUUUUAGUUCAAAUAAGAAAAAAAGUUUGCGACCUCGAUGUUGGAUUAAGAUAAAAUUUAAAUGCAGAAGUUUAAAAUUUUGAUCUGUUCGAUCAUUAAAAUCUUACAUGAUCUGA